rnacentral:rRNA from 1 species
UGAUCCAUUUUCUGCCACCGAAUACAUUAGCAUGGGAUAAUGGAAUAGGACCCUGUCCUCCUAUUUUCAGUUGGUUUUGGCAGCGCGAGGACUAGGGUAAUGAUUAAUAGGGAUAGUUGGGGGCAUUAAUAUUUAAUUGUCAGAGGUGAAAUUCUUGGAUUUAUGAAAGAUUAACUUCUGCGAAAGCAUCUGCCAAGGAUGUUUUCAUUAAUCAAGAACGAAAGUUAGGGGAUCGAAGACGAUCAGAUACCGUCGUAGUCUUAACCAUAAACGAUGCCGACCAGCGAUUAGGAGACGUUGAAUACAAAACACCACCAUCGGCGCGGUCGUCCUUGGCGUGUCUCGGCUUCACGGCUGGGGCGCGCGAGGGCGGUUUAGCCCGGUGGCACCGGUGAAUGACUCCCUAGGCAGCGCGAG